CCGCCUGGGGAGUACGGCCGCAAGGUUAAAACUCAAAUGAAUUGACGGGGGCCCGCACAAGCGGUGGAGUAUGUGGUUUAAUUCGAUGCAACGCGAAGAACCUUACCAGCCCUUGACAUCCUGGGAAUUUGGUAGAGAUACAUUAGUGCCUUCGGGAAUCCAGUGACAGGUGCUGCAUGGCUGUCGUCAGCUCGGGUCGUGAGAUGUUGGGUUAAGUCCCGCAACGAGCGCAACCCUUGUCCUUAGUUGCCAGCACGUAAUGGUGGGAACCCUAAGGAGACUGCCGGUGAUUAACCGGAGGAAGGUGGGGAUGACGUCAAGUCAUCAUGGCCCUUAUGGGCUGGGCUACACACGUGCUACAAUGGUCGGUACAGAGGGUCGCAAUCCCGCGAGGGGGAGCUAAUCCCAGAAAGCCGAUCUUAGUCCGGAUCGCAGUCUGCAACUCGACUGCGUGAAGUCGGAAUCGCUAGUAAUCGCGAAUCAGAAUGUCGCGGUGAAUACGUUCCCGGGCCUUGUACACACCGCCCGUCACACCAUGGGAGUGGGUUGCACCAGAAGUAGAUAGCUUAACCUUCGGGAGAGCGUUUACCACGGUGUGAUUCAUGACUGGGGUGAAGUCGUAACAAGGUAACCGUA
rnacentral:rRNA from 1 species